CAUCACAGGGAGGAGGAGAGAGGGCUACAAGAAGGAAGAGACUCCUGUAAAGAUAAAUAGGAUAUUGUCUGGUUGGAUAUGGUAAGAGUUGCAGUCCCUCUUGGGUCUCCAGGUUUAGUGUGCACAAGGUAGGAAGAAAGAGAGAAGAGGCUCAGGGAAGGGCAACAGAAAAGAUGGAAGAGGACGAAUUGUUCCUGUUAGAAAAAAGGUUCCAGACUUUUCCAUCUCAGAACAUAGUUGCUAGCAGCUAAAUGACUGUGUUUAACCUUUCAUGGACUGAGCCAUCAUCCUCUAUCUCCAGCAAGUACAAAACUCACGGAAGACCCUCCCCCUAGCCCCAAUCCAGAACCAUGUACCACAUUCCCAUGCAGUUCACAUGCAACACAUUCCCACAUAGUUCUAAUGAGAAGGAUCGCCUGGGGAGAUGGGAAGCCUAUUUUCAAAAAGAGGGUUUGCAGACCCCCUCCCGGAAGGUCUGGGCUUACUUGAACAGGUGGAAGACCUUUUAGGGUACCAGAGCAACUGAGCCAGGAACUGAGAUGCUACCUGCAACUCAGGCCCCUGGGUCUGGAUUGUCAGAGAGAGAUGAAUCCAUGAGACACAGCCCACAGGACUAGACAAUCACCAGACUUUUACAAACCCUUGCCUUGGUAUGCUUGCUGGAACCUCUGCUGGUAUCUUCUCUGCCCGUUCCAUAGUCAGGUUCAUCCUGACUGUUCCACCCGGGUGCUCAGGUCCAUCCCCUGCCCAAAUCCAAGAGGGCUUUGCACUGUCCCUAGGCCACAUUUUCUGUGCUCAGCCUUUGCCUGGGCUGUGUCCCACAUCCAGCUGUUCCCCCCUGACCCUUGGCCUCUCAGAUUCUGCCAAUCUCACCAAGCUAGGGUCAACAGUCUCCUCCAGAAGCCCUGUCUGCUUCUGCCAGCCCUUGUUGACUGUUUAUCUGUAUGGUCCAUGGAGUGACCUAUGUUUUUCAGUCAUUUUCUUCACUUGUCACACUUAUGAAUGAAGUCUUUAAUAAUUUCUAAUAGUAGGCAUUUAAUCUAGUGGCUAAGAUGUCCAAGUCCCUAUGGGAGCACUUGAAUGUGGCUUCUGGCUCCAGUUCUUGAAUGCAGCUUCCCUGUGCCCUGGGAAACAGCAAAUGAUGGCUCAAGUUGUUAAGUUCCUGACACCCAUGUGGGAGACCUGGAUUGAAUUCCAGCUACCAGCUUCAGUCCUAUCCCAGCCCUGGCCAUUGUGGACAGCUAGGGAAUAAACUAGCAGAUAAGAAUGUGCAUGUUCUCUCUCUGCCUCUCAAAUAAGUAAAAAAAAAUUAAUAAAAAGAAAAAAAAAACAAAGAAUUACUAAUACUAUAAUAUUGUCUUAUAGUUUGUAAGAGAUUUUCACAUUUGUUACAUCCUUGGCAUUUCACUAUAAUCUCAUAAGGGGCUCAUGCUGUCGUGUCCAUUGAAGAAUUUUUAAGAAGUUCUUUUUUGUGCUUGCUUGUGACAAAACUAACCAAUAAAUGGCAGCAUUAAAAGCUUGUGCUACUGGGAACAUGAAUAGAGGAUUUCUCCACAGGAAAACUUCAGACACAGGGAUUUAAGACAGGGCUCUCUUUUCCAGCCCCAAGGGAGGGACAAGACAUGAGACUUGAAAGAGCAGCUGCACGGUGGGACCGAGACUGUGUCGCCUGCACCCUCAAAUGGCAGGCUCAUUACCGCAGCUGUUGCUGCCUGUAGUGAGCUGGACAGCUGUUGCCAGCUGGAUGGAGCCAGAACAGAGGAGGUGGCGUCCCGCGGUAAUGACUGCGUGUGAGGGGCUUCAUCAACACAGCACCCUAGAAGAUGGGCACUGUUCCUACUCAAGUUUCACAGCUGAGGGACCUGUGGCUGAGAGGGGGAAAUGUUUCCCUAAACACAUCCCUGAAUAAGACCUCAGGGAAUGGAGCCCGCUACUAUGUUUCUGUGAUGGACUUGCCAUGGACACCAGGAAGGAUGGAUGUGAGAGCAACUGGUUUAGAGGUUUACAAUCCCCAGAAUCACUUACCUGGCACCUGAUCCAGUACGUGCUGUCUCAAGGUAUUUCACUUUUCAAUGCUGGCCACCCUCAUUUGUGCUAACUGCUCCCAUUCCUGCCUUGAGGAUUACUUCGAGCUGUGCAUGGAACCUCUCUUACUAUGGUAGAAAAUCAAUCACUUCCUUCACCACACUGACUUUGCUCUUAAAAAGUUCUCACUUCCAGACUGGCUUAUUUAUUCAGUGUGUGAUGCACAUUUUCCCAAUGCUGUAUCUAUUAUGGACCAGAAACCCCAUUACAUAGUGCAGCUCCUGUGCGAGGAUCUCGCUGUUCACACCCAAGGUCCUUAGUGUGACGGACACCAGGGAUGUGCUUCAGGCAUGAAACAAAAAUUGUAUAUGUGUCCAUGUAUGUUUCACUGGUGGGGAGACCUGUAGAUACUGUGAGCUAUUAUUUUUUAUUUUAUUUAUUUUUAGCAUUUUACUCUUUACCAGAUGCAAUGUAGUUCAUAGAUACAAUUCUAAGAAUAUUGAUAUUGUAAAAGGCCAAGAGCUACUGGGUGGAUGGAUAAAAAGGAUGCAGGUGUUCUAAUAGGAAAAAAUAUUCUCACUGGCAAACGAGAAAAAUGAGGCCAAGAAAGGACAUUUGGUGACACUGUCAUUAGCAGGUCAACAGUGUGCUCCAGAAUGGGUAAUACUAAGGUGCAGAAAAGUUUAAGUAGAUCCAAGGUGUCCUUUGAGGCAGAACUUGAAUGCCCUUAGUAACAGCCUGUUCUCAUAAUAGUCAUGUGUGGGCCUCUCUGGUCUAAAGAGAAUGAGGCUGCCGGAAAAGGCCUUGAUAGGCACAGGCUGGAGUUGUACCUUGAAGAGCCCUGGGGACCAGGUCAGCACUCGCUGGACAAAAGAUUUGCAGCCACUGAACCAGAAUUACCGCCCACCCUUGUUGGAAUGUUGGGCCCACAGCUGCAUGGAUGACAGGGAUUCACUGAGAAAUAAGCUUUCCCAUGAGCAGCCCAAGGCCCACAGCCAUCGACACUGGGUGUCGAGCAGGGAGUA